UCUUCAUUUCUUCUCUCUGGUCUGAAACCCACCAAACCACGAUACCACUAUGAAAAGGUAUAUAUGUAAUUCUCUUAACCAUGUCCUUUGGAGAAGAAGAUCUCAUCAAACAAUUCAGGAUGUUCAGAUCUGGAAUUCUGAACUGUUGGCUUUGAACUACACCCCCUUUUAAUUCCAUGAAUUCUGGUCUUCAGAUGGUGAGUGUGAUGCACGAUGGCACUGGUGGUAUAACAAUCUGAUUAUACAGUUGUGAUAUUCGGCUGUUAAAGGAUCUGAAGGAGGAGGAAGCUGAAUUGCUAUUCGUACUACUCCCUCAACUUUUAGAUACUACCACACCACGCUUCUGCUUCUGCUACUUCUUCUUUAGGUACUCAUUGAGAGUUUGAGACCACGAACCCAUCUAUUGCUUAACGAAUCAGAUAAUUUUACUUCCCUAUACUCGAUUUUAGACUGAUAUAUGUUGUUGGCGACUUGAUUAUGUGCUUAGAAUGGUUUUGCUAAAUUGAAGGGAUAAUCUUGACAGGUUAUAAAGCUAGAGCUUCAUACACGAAUGAAUGGGUCAAACGGUUUAAACGGUUGACCCACCCAAAACUUCAAUGUUCGUUCUUAACAACGAAAAGAUCACCUGCAACUACAUACGCGAGUUGUGAGGGGAUGAGAUGACGGUGGUCAGGCAUCACUCCGGAGCACAAUUCCGAAAGCAGUUGUCUAUUGUCAUGUUAAAGAGGCCAAGCAAAAUCUAUCAAGUUAAGUUGGCACACAAAGCGGAAGGAGGGAGGAAGUGAGCUUUUGGCUAUUCCAAGGGUGAUUAGUUUUAUGCAUUAUAUCCUACAAGGGAGUGAGUUUUUGACUGAUACCUUAAGGAAACAACUGAAGCAACAACUGUGAGAUGCAAUUUGGCGAGAGGAGAAAUGUUUUGAAAAUGAACUUUAAAGUUACCUCUUAUUAUAUCUGUGAUCUCAAUGGCAUCCAUUGUAGGACAAAUGGUCAACGACUUAUGAUGUGAGAAGUAUUCUAAUCUCUAUCCAAAGUCUCCUUGGAGUUGCAGAACCAAACACAAGUUUGCCUCUGAAAAAGUUCUUCUAUCUUUCAAAUUUUGACUGGUGGCCAUCAACAUAGAGAACGGAGGUUUACACCGGACAGUGGACGCGACAAAGAUAUGGGAGAUCAACUUUAGGCAUCUGCACUUCGCGAUGAAGAUGUAAGUGUUAAGCUUACGUUCACACGAAUUCAACAAAUGUUAGCUGAUUUAAAGUGACACUUAAUUGCAGCUUGAUAUGCUACAAGAAGAGCAUGACAUUGUUAUAGAUAAGCUUCACCGUGUAGAAGAAAAACGUGAAGAAGCAGAGGCCCGGGCCUGGGAGAUGGAGAAACAUGUAUACACUCAACGUUAUUCACAUUGCUGUAUAAGUUGGGUCUUUAACAAUUUUCAUUAUACGCAUAACUAUGUUCAUCUACAAAACUUGUAUCAUAUAGGUCACUUCUCUAGGAGAAAGAGUAUCUUUAGAGGCCAAAUUGCUGAGUAUGUAAUAAAAUUUGAUUUGCGAGCAUGUCAUCAUUUUUUUAUGUAUACAUACAUACCUGGUCCAAGUAACAUAUCUAUUUGUAUGUAUGGGUGUGGGAACUGUAAAAGCCAAUUAUGGGAGCAACAAGCUUACGAAAAUGAGGAAAGUAUAUCCCGCUCAUAUCAAGGAGCGAGUUGAGUUCGGGACCAAGAAAACCGUAGAAAUUAUAUCUCCUAAACCCAAAAAGGAUGAGGGAGGUGUAAAGAAAGACGGAGGAUUCGGGGAG
rnacentral:lncRNA from 1 species